UGUGUCUCUAUGCAUGGAGUAAGAAAGAAACCAUCCUACAAUAGCACCAAAUCCAGCAUGGAUGGCUGUGUUGGUGCAGGACUUUCACAUGUCUUUGGAGUAGAAUAAGAUGUGCCAAUCCAGACUCAACCCCAUCUCAUCAAGAUCCAGUGAUCUUCGUUUUCCGAUUGUCUAGCCCAAGCUCUCUUCCUCCCCAGACUCAUCCUCCACCCUGCUACUGGACUUGUCUUUGUACUCUCAAAGCAGUGUGAGGAGAUUCAUCAACCGGUGGUGUGGACAUGUGAACAGCGUGAGGCAGAGAGUUAUAAGCUUCUUGAGGGUGGCAGCCAGACAGUAGCAGUUUGUGUGCAAAGCCCCUGCAGUGGCAUAUGGAAGACUUUCAAUACAUCAGGACCAGAGGAUGAGCUGGAAAUGAAAUCACACUCACUGGUGGGAGAAAACCAAACUUGAUGACAGAGGACCAGUAAAGGAAGCAGCUUGAGUAUGUGUCCUCAGAUGCAGACACAAGGCCUUGCCUUCCUGGAUGAGACAGGCACUGACUGGAGCAGGGUUUGCCAGACUCAAAGGGCCACAUUUUAGGGACAGUCUAAAAUGUGGUAUAUGGACAGUCUGGCAGUGGUAUGUAGAAUGGGUUAAAACUGGAAGACUGGGCUGGGUAUGGUGGUGCAUGCCUGUAAUUCCAGUACUUUGGGAGGCUGAGGCAGGAGGAUUGCUUGA
rnacentral:lncRNA from 1 species